UAUAAGUGCAACCAUGAGUUUCCGUGACUAACUUUGAUCGUCCGUCUUGUUUGAAAUUUCUUUAUAAUUAGUAUUUUUAAUAUUAUGAGAUGAUAAAACAUGAAUAGUACUUUAUGCGUGAUUUAUGUUUUUAAAUUUUUUUCAAAAAUUUUUAAAUAAGACGAACGAUCAAAGUUGGAUACGGAAAAUCAUAGUUGCACUUAUG
rfam:Oryza meridionalis cultivar OR44 (W2112) chromosome 3, whole genome shotgun sequence.